CGGAAUGGCCCCAAAUCCUGGAAAUUCUGGGGAUUCCUGGAAAAAAAUGGGAAUUUUCUUGGGUUUUUGGGAAUUCCUGGGAAAAAAUGGGAAUUUUCUUGGGUUUUUUGGGAAUUUCUAGGAAAAAAAAGGGAAUUUUGUGGAAGUUUUUUUGGGAAUUUCUGAGGGAAAAAAGGAAUUUUCUGGGAAAAAAGGGAAUUUCUUUGGAUUUUGUUGGGAAUUUAUGGGAAAAUCAGGGAAUUUUGUUGGAUUUUUGGGAUUUCCUGGCAUAAUUUCCGUGGAUUUUUUGGGAAUUCCCAAGGGAAAAAGAGAAUUUAUUUGGGGUUUUUUUGGGGAUUUCUAGGGGAAAAAAGGGAAUUUUGUUGGAUUUCUUUGGGAAUUUUGUUGGGGUUUUUGGGAAUUUCCUUUUAUUUCUUUGGGAAUUCUUGGGAAAAAGGGGAUUUUUUUUGGAUUUUUUUGAGAAUUUCCAGUUGGGAUUUUGGGAAUUUCUGGGUGAAUUUAUGGGAAUUUCCAGCUGGGAUUUUUGGGAAUUUUCAGCUGGAAUUUUGGGAAUUUCCAGCUGGGAUUUGGGGGAAUUUCUGGGUGGAUUUUUGGGAAUUUCCAGCUGGAUUUUUUGGGAAUUUCCAGCUUAAAUUUGAGGAAUUUCUGGGUGGGAUUUUUGGGGAAUUUCCAGCUGGAUUUGUGGGAAUUUCCAAUUGGAUUUUGGGGGAAUUUCCAGCUGGAAUUUUAGGCAUUUCUAGCUGGGAUUUUUGGGAAUUUCUGGGUGGAUUUUUGGAAUUUCCCAGUUGGGAUUUGUGGGAUUUCCCAGCCGGAGUUUUGGGAAAUUUCCCUCUAGAUUAUGAGGAAUUUCCAGUUGGAAUUUGGGGAUUUCUAGCUGGAAUUUUGGGCAAUUUCCAGCUGGGAUUUUGGGCAAUUUCCAGCUGGGAUUUUUGGGAAUUUCUGACUGGGAUUUUUGGGAAUUUCCAGGUGGGAUUUCAGGCAUUUCUAGCUGGGAUUUUUGGGAAUUCCCAGUUGGAAUUUUGGGAUUUUUCCCUCAGGACUGGGCUUUUUUCCAGGUAUUUCAAGGCUGGAAUUCCUCCCCCAGGAUUUUCCAGGAUUUCCCAUGGCUGUGGUUCCCUUUUCCCGAUGUUUCCCUGCUGUUUUUCUGUCGUUUUUCCCAUUUUUCCCUCUGUUUUUCCCUGCCCUGAGCGUUCGGUGCCGUUGUGUCCGUUGUGAUUGGGAGGAAAUUCCCGAAUUUCUGUGGAUUUUAAAGGACUCCAGCUCAGCUCAUCCCAAUUUCUCAUCUUUGUAAAAGCCCCAAAACACCAAAUUCCCAUUUUUUUGGGGUGUUGGUGGGGGUGGGGUUGGGAUUUUCCUGCCCAAAAUUGGGGAAAUGUUGGAAUUUGGGGGAGGAAAUGGAGAAUUUGGGGGUUUGGGAUGGGGAAAAUCCUUCAGGAAUGGGAAAAUUCCCAUUUGGAAAGGGAAAAUUCUCAUCAGGAAUGAGAGAAUUUCUCUGGAAUGGGAAAAUUCCCAUCAGGAAUGGAAAAAAUCCCUUCAUGUUUUGAGAAAUUUGUGCCCAAAAUGGGGAAAUUCCUUCAGGAAUGAGAAAAUUCUUCUGGAAUGGGGAAAUUUCUGCCAGAAAAGGGGAAGUUCCUUCAGGAAAAGGAAAAUUCUCCUCAGGAAAGGGAAAUUUCCCUUCAGGAAUGGGGAAACUCCACUCAGGAAUGGAAAAGGGAUGAACAAAAUGGAAAAAUUAUGGAAAUGGAAUGGAAAAAAUGAGGGAAAAGGGGUAGACAAUGGGAUUUGGGGAACCUGAGGGGAUUUGGGGGACCCUGAGGGGAUUUGGGGACAUUUUGAAGGAAUUUAGGGACAUUUUGAGGGAUUUUGGAGACCCUAAGAGGAUUUGGGGACACUGUGAGGGGAUUUAGGGACAUUUUGAGGAGUUCUGGUGACCCUGAGGGAAUCUGGGGACAUUUUGAGGGGUUUUGGUAACGUUGUGAGGAGAUUUAGGGACCCUGAGGAGGUUUGGGUACACCGUGAGGGGAUUUGAGGAAACUGUGAAGGGAUUUGAGGAAACUGUGAGGGAAUUAGUUGACCCUGUGGGGAUUUGGGGAUACUAUGAGGGGAUUUGGGAACAUUUUGAGGGAAUUUGGUGACCCUGAGGGCAUUUGGGGUCCGUGAGGGGAUUUGGGGACGCUGUCACUGAGGGGCUGGGGACACUCACUGUGAGGCUCUG
ensembl:lncRNA